UUUGAUAAAACUGAGUGUUAAGACCUGAACAGUUUAGACGUCUGAAUAAUAUAGAGCAUAUGAAUAGAAUUGUGUCUGAAUGAAAAAAUAUUGUUUGAUAAUUAAUUUUUUCAAAAUGUCUGAAUAACGGUAUUUUACCAUUUUAACCAUCUGAACAGUUUAAACAAAACAUGUUUGAUAAUCAGAAGGUCUCAAUAAUAUUUUAAAUACAUAUUUAUAAUAUUUUGACCAUAAUAUGAUAAAAUAAAAAUAAAAAACGUACAAAUUAAAUUAACUUCAAACAUAGUAUCAUGUCCCAAAAAUAUCAACAUAGCAUAAUAAUUCAACCAUACAAAUUAAAAAACCCAACUAAUUAACAUGUUUGGUUAGGCGGCAAACAAAAGAAAAGACUAGCAAUAUACUAAUUUACUGAAUAAUUUUUUUUAAGAAAGAGUAUAGAAUAUUACCCAGUGAUUGAACAAAAAAACCCAACUAAUUAACAUGUUGAAUCUGAAUAGUAUAGUUGUGGUCGUCCUCAUUUGUCUUAGCUCUGUUCGGAUAUGUUGUUCUUCAUCUGUUAAAAGAGAAAAACAGAACAAAUUGGAUGGAAAUUUGAGAUUCGACAAAAAUGGGGAAUUUAGGAUACUGCAAGGGCGGAUAUGCACUAAGCCAACGGCAAGGGAACAGAUUGCGAAGAUGUUUUUCCGCAACAGAUGCCUUCUUGCUCCGAUCUCAACACCACUGUCUUUUUCCGCAACAGAUGCCUUCUUCCUGGUCGGAGUCGGCGAGGGAGGAGAUGUGAGGGACAAUAAAGGAAUUUGGUUGCCUUUGUAUAAUUUAGACUUAGGUUAACGUCUGACCGAAAAGGAGGAAGAAAAAAUCAUACAGAGGCAUCAAAAAAUUUGUCAAACAAAAUUAUCCUCUUACCGAAAAAGAAACUACGCUGGACAGAGACUUUCAGACGUAAACAAACGCCACCUUAAUGGCUCACGUUCUUCUCCAAGGCCCAAGAUGUAAGGUGUGAAUGGUUUUGGGAUUUAGAGAGAAAUAAACAAUUCGUUCCACUACUAUUCCUCUGAAAUUGGGAUGGGCUGGACAGUCUUUAUAUUCCAUAUUCUAUACAACUUGACGAAUUUAAGGCCCCAAUAGUUUGCCUAAUUCGGAACAACAUAAAUUCGAAAUAUAACAGAUAUUUAAAAAACAUACAAACUGAAUACAAUGCACUGAAUAUAUUAUAUACAAUGAAGCUGUGCUUACACUUUAAGCAUACUAUUCUAUCCAUUCUAAAAUUUGACAUAUAUCUUUUUUCUAUUUUUAAAAAUAAUUUUAUUUUCUCAAAUAUACUCCCAAAAUUAGUUAAAAUUUUAGUAGCAGAUAUUAAAAGUCAUAUUAAAAAUUAACAAAUUAAGAACCAAGAACGAAACCCUAGAAUCGACACCCAAUUUCUUCUCCAAAUCGAAAUUGAAUGAAGAAUCUCCACUUCGAAGUGGUAAAUCUUUUCUUUCUUUUUUAUCCAUGCUCUGGGU
rnacentral:lncRNA from 1 species